UGGCGGGCGCUACAAUGAUAUACUGAGAAUAGGACGGAUUCUGAUGAGAUGGGCAGUCAGUAAUACGUCUAGUGGCGUUGAAACGGCCUAAAACAGAAGAGGAGAAGAUUCGGAUGAGAUAGUCCGUCUUUCAAGCGUAAAGGAAAGGCGACACCUGCGAAGUUGACCACCAGAAACGGAAUUUUCCCACAACAUCAGGACAUCUGGUGAAGGGGCAUAUAAGAUGUCUUUAUUGAAACCACAGUACUGUUAAAUAGUCAAGAAUUGCCAUGGAGGCUAAGGAAACCUAUUAACUUCAACCAAGGAAAAAGCUUUCCUCAGACCCUGACAUGGAUGUCUCCUGCCGUUUUCAAGCUACCUACAUCUUUUCUUGGGGUUACCUUCCUAUUACUUGCUUUGAACAAAGAGCGUGAAAACCUCCUGUGUGCUCCAGAGUAGCGGGGCACUGUGCAUCAAAAUAUCAGCGCAGGUUGAAAGGCACAAAAUAAGUUAGUAGCGGAGGAAGACGUGUACAGAGAUGGUGGGAUUAAAGAAUCAGAAGCUGAGGAUACCUCUUGUUCAAAGUUGGAUGUCAACAGGAGAUAAUUUCCAAAAGAGGAUCUGGCUGACGACCUCUAUUUCGGGGCGUUUUUGGCUCAUCUAUUGCAGACCUCUGCAAUGGGGGACCUCAACUGUUGGGCGGGAAGAGCCAGUUCCAGAAUGAUGUACUGACUAAUGUAUGUUCUGGUUGCUGUCAGAAGUUAC